rnacentral:rRNA from 1 species
UACAGAGGGUGCAAGCGUUAAUCGGAAUUACUGGGCGUAAAGCGUGCGUAGGCGGUUUGUUAAGUCGGGUGUGAAAUCCUCGGGCUCAACCCGGGAACUGCGCUUGAUACUGGCAGACUCGAGUGUGGUAGGGGAUAGUGGAAUUCCCGGUGUAGCGGUGAAAUGCGUAGAUAUCGGGAGGAACAUCAGUGGCGAAGGCGGCUAUCUGGACCAACACUGACACUGAGGUACGAAAGCGUGGGUAGCAAACAGG